AUGGUGCCCCAGACUGGAAUUCUCCUAGCCCUGCUGCUCUUGGUCUCUGGUGUCUCUGGUGACAAUGUGGUGAUCCAGUCUCCAGGCUCCCUCUUGCUGUCUGUUGGAGAGAGUGCCACCAUCCACUGCAAAUCCAGCCAGAGUCUUUUCUCCAGUGCUUACAAGGUGAACUAUUUAUCCUGGUACCAGCAGAAACCAGGACAAUCUCCCAAACUGCUCAUCUACUAUGCAUCCACUCGGGCAUCUGGGGUCCAAGAUCGGUUCAGUGGCAGUGGGUCUGGCACGGAUUUCACUCUCACCAUCAGCAAAGUGCAGGCUGAAGAUGCUGGGAGUUAUUACUGUCAGCAGAAUUAUGAUACUCUUCCCACAGUGAUUCAGCUUCGAACAUAA